rnacentral:rRNA from 1 species
GGGCCCGCACAAGCGGUGGAGUAUGUGGUUUAAUUCGAUGCAACGCGAAGAACCUUACCAGGGUUUGACAUCCUGCGAAUUUCUGGGAAACCGGAAAGUGCCUUCGGGAGCGCAGUGACAGGUGGUGCAUGGCUGUCGUCAGCUCGUGUCGUGAGAUGUUGGGUUAAGUCCCGCAACGAGCGCAACCCACGUCUUUAGUUGCCAGCAUUUAGUUGGGCACUCUAGAGAGACCGCCGGUGAUAAACCCGGAGGAAGGUGGGGACGACGUCAAGUCAUCAUGCCCCUUAUGUCCAGGGCUGCACGCAUGCUACAAUGGCAAGUACAGAGGGCUGCGAACCCGCGAGGGCAAGCGAA